ensembl:lncRNA
AUUUUCCUACUGAAUUUCUGUAAAUUCACAAUAGAUAUUUAUCGUAGUGAUCUGCUGUGUCCUCUUUAGGAAAGAGAAAUAUCAAAAUGAACCCUGCUUGUUGUACUUUUGUCUUAUUUCUUCAAUAUGUGUACGAGAUAAGUCCGUUUAUUGGAAUUAUGCAGACAGCUUUGUCACACUUCUGAUAUGAGAUUUAACACAUGAGGUUCUUAUUUCAAAUAAUAAGGUAUUUACUGUUCAAAUAUCAGUUAGUAGAGUCGGAGCGAGAAAGGCAGAUGAAGGAUAACUGAUAAUUAAGUUUAGAGGGCUCUGUCCUACUUUAUGUUCUGCUUUAAUUAAAUAUUCUCAUAUUGUUUUGCGUUCCUUGACACAGGCGGUUAUGGAAUUUGGGUUUAAUUCCAAAUCCUUAAUGUCUGUGGGAAAGUCUUAGGAAAUGAUAAUAAAUACAUUCCUAAAUGUACAUAAUUAAUUGAGUUAAUUUUUACUUUUUUAAGUUAGCCAAGAAGGUAAUUUAGGGACUAGCACUUAUCAAAAUAUGCAGCUCAGGGGAAUUUUUAUUCUUUGGCAUAAUUAUUGGAGUAUCAUUUUACCAUAAGUACCAAAAAGAUAUUUCUGAUAGCCCUCAUUUUGACCAGCCUAGGAGGUGAUAGUCUGGGCAGCUGAAAAAUCAUUCCAUAACUGGCAUAUGAAAAAAGUAGAUUUUGUUGACUCAUGGAAUUAUGGAAUAUUAAAGUCAGAAAGUGGCAAGGAGAUUAUUCAAUCCAAUUUCUUACUGAUACCAGGAGGAAACUAAGACUGUGAGAUACAGUGAUUUGUCACAUGCGUACAUUUUGCCAGGUUAGUUAGGAGCUAGACUAGAAUUCAGUUUUUAAAAUUGUUUUUCUUUAUUACCUCACUUUCUUUCUUAACUCACUUUUCAUAAGAAUGUAUUUCUACCUUCAUUAAGGUGAAAGAGAAUGCAGUGAAAUUUACCCAAUAGAAUAAAUGGAAGCUGUUGUGUAACAAUUUGACAGGACUUUGCACUGGGCUGUGGCUAUAGAGGAGUGUCUUUGAUAUUCAUGAGCCUUUUGGAUCAUGUCUAAGUUUAUGUAAAUAAAGUGACUGAAGCUAACGGCAGCCUGGGGGCUGGUCUGCUGAUGAGACUAACUGUGUGAUUAACAUGUUAGAGCUUUGAGCCAUGUGGUAGCAGCCCAACUUCCCAAGCUCCAAGGAGGGGUGCAGGGCUGGAGACUAAAAUGCCCAAAGAAACUCUGGACACAACUCAGUGGAGCUUCCCCGUUGGUUAAUGAACACAUUCCUGUCCUGGAAGAGUGACAUGCCCUGAUGUGACAGAGAGAGAGCUCAUAAGCUCUGCCUUUGAAACCCUUCAGGACCUUGCCCCUUGGUUCUUGUCAUUUGAAUGGUCUGAUUUACAUUCUUUAUAAUAUAACUGCAAUUGUAAGUAUAGGACUUUUCUAAGUUCUAUGCAUUCUAAAGAGUUAUCAGUCCCGAGGAUGGUUAUCAGAAUCCCCCAAAUGUAUAGCUAUCUGUUCAGACAUGCAAGUGACUGGGAAGCCCUCUCAUGGCUUCUAAAGCGAAAGCAGUCUUAGGAACUGAGGAGCUCCCGUCGUGGCUCAGCGGUUGGUCAUGAACCCAACUAGGAUCCAUGAGGAUGCGGAUUCGAUCCAUGGCCUCGCUCAGUGUGUUAAGGAUCUGGCAUUGCCGUGAGCUGUGAUGUAGCUCGUAGACACAGUUUGUAUCUGGCGUUGCUGUGGCUGUGGUGUAGGCCAGCAUCUACAGCUCUGAUUUGACUCCUGGCCUGGGAGCCUCCAUAUG